rnacentral:rRNA from 1 species
UACGUAGGUGGCAAGCGUUAUCCGGAUUUACUGAGUGUAAAGGGCGUGUAGGCGGGACUGCAAGUCAGAUGUGAAAUUCCAGGGCUCAACCCUGGACCUGCAUUUGAAACUGUAGUUCUUGAGUGAUGGAGAGGCAGGCGGAAUUCCGUGUGUAGCGGUGAAAUGCGUAGAUAUACGGAGGAACACCAGUGGCGAAGGCGGCCUGCUGGACAUUAACUGACGCUGAGGCGCGAAAGCGUGGGGAGCAAACAGG